CUAAGGGAUUUAAUGUAAUGACCGAUUAAGUCCUCCGCGCCACUAUUUCUGCACGGGCGGCUCCCCGCGUCCGCCUCUUCCUCCUCCUCGGCUCCGGCGGUCGGUAGUGUCGCUGCCCUGCGGUUCUCUUGGCCAUGAGCGGUGCCUCUUCCAGCUCGUUUUAGUUCGGACUCGUCCUUCUCCUACCCCGAUCUGUCUCCUGGGAUACAAGUUUCUUCGACUUGGCCGAAAUGCUGGUGAUCAGAGAGAAAAAUGAAGUGAAGAAUGGAAAUAAUGAGCCUGUUGAUGCUGAUGAUGAUGAAGAUGGUGAUGUUGGGGAGGGUGAAGAUGAGUUGUCUGAUGACAAUGGGGAGGAAUAUGAGAACCCCGAUACCGAUAAUGGCAAGAAAAAUCCGGGUGGAGACGAACAGAAUGGAGAGGGAGAGGAGGAGGAGGAGGACGACGAAGAUGGUGUAGAGGAGGAUCGGGAGGACAAGGAUAAAAGAGGAAGAGGCGCUUCAACCUCCAAAGAAAAAGAAGAAUCCAAAUCCAUUUUCAAAAAAUGACAAUCAAGCAGAUUCUCUUCUGAAGAAACUGAGUCUAGUAUAAAUAGAGAUCCUACCCUUCACAACUUUCCUUUCAUGAAGAAACUUUGAAUCAGAAAGCUGAAAUUCUGUAAG